AAGACGGAGUCAGAGCGCCAGAGGAAUCUGUUCCUCAGGGCCUUCACUGACUUCCUGGCCUUCAUGGUCCUCUUCAAUUACAUCAUCCCAGUAUCCAUGUACGUCACCGUGGAGAUGCAGAAGUUCCUCGGCUCCUACUUCAUCACCUGGGAUGAAGACAUGUUUGAUGAGGAAAUGGGGGAAGGGCCUCUGGUCAACACAUCUGAUCUCAACGAGGAGUUGGGACAGAGUACAUCUUCACUGACAAGACCGGCACCCUUACAGAGAACAACAUGGCCUUUAAGGAGUGCUGCAUCGAGGGCCACGUCUACGUACCCCAUGUCAUCUGCAACGGGCAGGUCCUUCCUGACUCUUCUGGCAUUGACAUGAUCGAUUCUUCCCCAGGUGUC
rnacentral:lncRNA from 1 species